AAAACAUGGUGAGGGGAUUUCCUAAACAUUUCCUUAAAAUCUCUCAAUUCUCAUAAAUAAAUUCUUCUUCAAACUGAGUAAAAGAAAUGAUAUCAUUUCUAAGUUU